rnacentral:rRNA from 1 species
GUGCAGCAGUCGCGAAAACUCCGCAACACGCGAAAGCGUGACGGGGCCAUCCCGAGUGCCGUCCGCUGAGGAUGGCUUUUCCCUAGUGUAGAUAGCUGGGGGAAUAAGGAGAGGGCAAGUCUGGUGUCAGCCGCCGCGGUAAUACCAGCUCUUCGAGUGGUAGGGAUGUUUAUUGGGCCUGAAGCAUCCGUAGCCGGCUGGACAAGUCCUCCGUUAAAUCCAGCGAUUCAAUCGUUGGAUUGCGAGGGAUACUGUUCGGCUUGGGGGCGAGGGAGGUCGGCGGUAGUCCCGGGGUAGGGGCGAAAGCCUAUAAUCCCGGGAGGACCACCAGUGGCGUAGGCGGUCGGCUAGCACGCGCUCGACAGUGAGGGACGAAAGCUGGGGUAGCGAACCGGAUUAGAUACCCGGGUAGUCC